GUCUACGGCCAUGCUACCCUGAACAAGCCCGAUCCCGUCUGAUCUCGGAAGCUAAGCAGGGUCGGGCUUGGUUAGUACUUGGAUGGAAGACUACCUAGGAAGACCAGGUGCUAAUGGCA
rnacentral:rRNA from 1 species